rnacentral:lncRNA from 1 species
GGAAGUUCUUGUGUUUAUUUAUGACAAAAACUGUUUACAAAGAGAUAUGGUAAAUCACCUGGUUGGUUACCUGUUUCAUGUAUACUGACAGCAUUUAAUAAAGCAACACUUCUAGUCUAAUGCAUUUGAAUCAAUACAAUGAACAGAUGAGGAUAUUAAAAAAAGAAUUUUGGGUAGGGUUGGAUUGGGGAAAUAAGCACUCUAAAAAGGACAAAAAUACACAAAGAACUACAAUUGAAUGCAAAGAAUCAAUUCGAACACAAGAAAAAAUCUGGGGAAAACGACUUGCUGAGGAUGGAUUCGUAGUGUCUGUUCUAAAACUAGUUGUUCUCGGCUGUUGCUUGUGAUAUGUCAACUUAAGGUGACAAAUGACACAAUUAUUCACAUUUUGAGACAAAACGUUAUUAUAGACCAAGA